AGUCAUCAACCCCUCCCGUUUCGUGCGGCGGAGGGUUGGAGCUGGGGGACUUGCCGCCGCGAGGCGGCUCCCCUCAAAUGCUUCGGUUGGGCCUGUGGGUCGAACUCGACUGGGCGUUGUACCAUCCUCGCUCGACAGAGACGUUCCCCUCUCGCGCCCGACCUCGACCUGCCUCCAGAGCGGCGGUCAAAGCAACUUUGAA
rnacentral:misc_RNA from 1 species